CUACGGGACGCUCCAGUGGGGAAUAUUGGGCAAUGGAGGCAACUCUGACCCAGCAACGCCGCGUGAUGGAUGAAGGCCUUAGGGUUGUAAACUUCUGUUGUAAAGGAAGAAAAAAAUGACGGUACUUUACUAGAAAGCCCCGGCAAACUAUGUGCCAGCAGCCGCGGUAAGACAUAGGGGGCAAGCGUUAUCCGGAAUCACUGGGCGUAAAGCGAGCGUAGGCGGUUAAUUAAGUUAAGUGUGAAAGCCUUGGGCUCAACCCAAGAACUGCACUUAAUACUGGUUGACUAGAGUAUUGGAGAGGUAAGUGGAAUUCCUAGUGUAGCGGUAAAAUGCGUAGAUAUUAGGAGGAACAUCAGAGGCGAAGGCGGCUUACUGGACAAUAACUGACGCUGAGGUUCGAAAGCGUGGGGAGCAAACAGGAUUAGAUACCCGUGUAGUC
rnacentral:rRNA from 1 species